UACGUAGGCAGCGAGCGUUGUUCGGAGUUACUGGGCGUAAAGCGUGCGUAGGCGGUGCCAUAAGUCUGUUGUGAAAUCUCCCGGCUUAACUGGGAGGGUGCGGUGGAAACUGUGGUGCUGGAGUGUGGGAGAGGUAGGCGGAAUUCUCGGUGUAGAGGUGAAAUUCGUAGAUAUCGAGAGGAACACCGGUGGCGAAGGCGGCCUUCUGGACAGCAACUGACGCUGAGACGCGAAAGCGUGGGGAGCAAACAGG
rnacentral:rRNA from 1 species